rnacentral:rRNA from 1 species
GUGGGGAAUAUUGGGCAAUGGGCGAAAGCCUGACCCAGCAACGCCGCGUGAAGGAAGAAGGUUUUCGGAUCGUAAACUUCUAUCCUUGGUGAAGAUAAUGACGGUAGCCAAGAAGGAAGCCCCGGCUAACUACGUGCCAGCAGCCGCGGUAAUACGUAGGGGGCAAGCGUUGUCCGGAAUGAUUGGGCGUAAAGGGCGCGUAGGCGGCCCGGUAAGUCUGAAGUGAAAGUCCUGCUUUUAAGGUGGGAAUUGCUUUGGAUACUGUCGGGCUUGGGUGCAGGAGAGGUAAGCGGAAUUCCCGGUGUAGCGGUGAAAUGCGUAGAGAUCGGGAGGAACACCAGUGGCGAAGGCGGCUUACUGGACUGUAACUGACGCUGAGGCGCGAAAGUGUGGGGAGCAAACAGGAUUAGAAACCCCAGUAGUCC